CACUUCCCGCAGUGGGAUGCGCCUGGCAGCUGCUGGCCCUGACAGCUGGGCCUGUCUCUGAAGCUCUGCUCGAGUUAUCCGCCAGCAUUCUUAGGGAUGGGCUCAGUCGGGAGCAGCAGGGGUAUCUUCUGACGCUUUUAUGUCACGUAAGCAAAUAAAUAAGAGCACAGAAUCAUCAAAUCAUUAAGAUUAGAAAAGACUUCUAAGGUCGUCGUGUCCGGCCAUCAACCCUUCCCCACCACUGCACUAACCACGUCCCUCAGUGCCACAUCUCCACGGUUCUCAAACACCUCCACGGAUGGUGACUCCGCCAUGUCUGGGCAGCCUGUGUCAGUGCCUCACCUCUCUGAGAAGAGUCACAGACAGUUUACCCUGCUUUCUUACAGUGUUUCUCAAAUACGAGCCUAGCAGUGGAUCAGUCUGGUCUUGGAAUUAAUUACAAAACUACUGCACUAGCAGUUUUCUCCAGGAGUCAGGCUCUGUCUCACACUGUUACAAGGACACUGCGGUGUCCCUGUGCUUUUUUUCCACUCUGUUUUACAGCACCAAUUUGCUAGCAGAAGAACUCUUGGAUGCACGAUUGGUGAAGCGUGGCAGUGGGGCAGCCAGACCAGAUGAUUUCCAGAAGUCCCUUCCAACCCCUAUGAUUCUGCGUGUGACUGGAUCUCCCCCGCCAUGUGUCCUUGACUCCUGCUGUUGAGUUUCACUGCACGUUUCCCAUGUAUCAACCUGUAUCAGGAGGUAUUCCAGUUUCCGUCAGCAUGGAAAACGUCUCCAUGCAUAAGUCCAUUUAAACAUUGGAUGUUGUAUGCUCUAUUCUCAGCGAAGCAACCAUAAAUGAGCACGAGAUCAAUAACAGCAGAAUUAGAAAGGAGUUAUGCUGAGCAAGUUCUUAAACAUACCUCAGAUGUUAGAUAAAUUAAGGAUAUAAGCACACAGCAAUACUUAAAAUUCCUCAUGUUUCUGGAAAACUACAGCUAUUGCUUAUGGAUAAACUAAAACACUUCCUGAGUAGAUCAUACACUGGCAGUUGAUAAGAUGGAAAGUAAAAUCCUGUGUUCAAGCAAGAGCCAGGAUACAAGAUUUCCUAUCUUCUGCAAAUACUAAAAAAGGAAAAAUUGAAACUGUGUUAUCUUGGAGCUGUUUGGGCCUGUGCAUGUGCUGGAGAAAAGAGACUGGACAGUCUGUUUUGACAGCCAUGACAAAAAAACAGAAUACAAGUGAAGAUGGACCUCAGCCAUGACCAGCACAGCCCUUGUUACAAAUACAUCUGCAAUGAAUUUUAACUCUCCACCUCAUGGCAAAUGGAAUGCUAUAGGAAGAGGAGUUGUGCUAGGAACAGAGGAGGAAAUGCUUUUGUAUAUUCAUGCAGCCAAGUUUGAUAAAAAGAUUGCAGGAAUUCUCUGAGAUUGCUAGCUCCUCAAGCAAGAACCUUUCCUGUUGCUCACUGUUUUUAAUCUGAACUUGACUGUUUGUAGUAUUCAUAAAAAUAAGGUAGGUGUAACCACUAUUUUUAUUUAGAAGCUAUAUCAUCUGCUACUUUUGAUGGUUUUUGUUAUACAGUACUUAAAAUUAUUUACUUGAUCAGAAUUCAAAAUGUCCAGUUUUUAUUACAUUAGAAAAUGAUUGAGCAAUCUUUGUUUUGCUGGGAAAUAAUAUUACAACUUUUGCUUUUUUUUUUUUCCUAAGUGAAACUGAAUUAAUCAGUGAAACUGAUAAAACCAAGCUUUUUUUUUUUUUUUUUAAUUAAAAUUACCUUAACCUAGCUGGACUCUCAAAGAGAAAAAAGAAACCUGGAGAGGGACUCUUUAUGAAAGAGUACAGUGAGAGGACAAGGGGCAAUGUCUUUAAGCAAAAAGAGGGUAGAAUUAGAUUAGACGUUAGGAAGAAAUUCUUCACCAUGAGGGUGCUGAUUCACUGGAACAGGUUGCCCAGGGAAGCUGUGGCUGUCACAUUCCUGGUAGCAUUCAAGGCCGGACUGGAUGGGGCUUUGGGCAACCUGGUCUAGCGGAAGGUGUCCCUGCCUAUAGCAGGGGGUUGGAAUUAGACGAUCUUAAAAGUCCCCUCUAAUGCAAACAUUUCUAUGAUUCUAUGACACAAUACAGAUACUUAAUGCAGCACAUAAUAUCAUAGCAUAUUCGCAACUUCAAAGAUCAUUCCAUCAAUUCUAGUCCUACAACCAAAACCCAGAUCCUGUUUCAGCGGUGCAGCGUACUAGUUUAGGGCAAAUGAAAAACACUAUGCAGAUGACUGUCACUUCAUGUUUCUUUUCAAUUUAGAAUUAAUUUUGAAACUCCAACAUUACUUUUAAAGGCAUGACUUAUGAGGAAAACUAUGUUUCAUUUUUGUUUCAAGAAAUUAAACACAGAUUGGUCCUAAUCCAAAAUUACAGGGCAUAGUACUGUAUCUUGCACUACAGAUGUUCGAACAUAGGUAUGGAAAAUAAUGAAAAAGAUGCAUUAAUAUCAGUUCUAAUUCUGACAUGCUAUCCGAAGCUCAUGAUUUGUGAGGGGAAUCAGGACAAAAUUAUGGUUUCUUUUAAGUGUCUGAACAUCCUCUAGAAACACAAUUUAAAAUACAUUUCUCCUCCAAUGCUCUUUUAAUCCUUUAUCAAGGAAUAGUUUUCGAUUCAAAAAGGUGAAGUUUGGAAUUGACUGCAUUUCCCUCCCCUCUUGCUGAUCUUAAAAAAAUACCAGUUUGACUUAUAUCUUGAUAAAAUAAAUGAAGGUGAAACAAA